rnacentral:rRNA from 1 species
ACGGGGCCCGCACAAGCGGCGGAGCAUGCGGAUUAAUUCGAUGCAACGCGAAGAACCUUACCAAGGCUUGACAUACACCGGUAACGCCCAGAGAUGGGUGCCCCUUUGUGGUCGGUGUACAGGUGGUGCAUGGUUGUCGUCAGCUCGUGUCGUGAGAUGUUGGGUUAAGUCCCGCAACGAGCGCAACCCUCGUCCUAUGUUGCCAGCGGGUCAUGCCGGGGACUCAUGGGAGACUGCCGGGGUCAACUCGGAGGAAGUGGGGAUGACGUCAAAUCAUCAUGCCCCUUAUGUCUUGGGCUUCACGCAUGCUACAAUGGCCGGUACAAAGGGCUGCGAUACCGCGAGGUGGAGCGAAUCCCAGAAAGCCGGUCUCAGUUCGGAUUGGGGUCUGCAACUCGACCCCAUGAAGUCGGGGUCGCUAGUAAUCGCAGAUCAGCAACGCUGCGGUGAAUACGUUCCCGGGCCUU